AGCAUGUAGCUCAGUGGUACAGUGUCUGCCUAGCAUGCACAGAUCCCUGGGUUUAAUCCCCAGCACUGCCA
rnacentral:tRNA from 1 species